AGGACAUGGGUGGAGACCGAGGCGGGAAGAGGGAGGCACAGGGCGGGGAGAAGCCGCCUGUAGCUUCUCCCAGGCCUCGUUCAGGGCCACCCCCCCAGGGACCUCUGCUAUCUGCUACAUGGAAGCUCGCUCAACUUGCACGUUUGUUUGCGUGGGGCUGCAUACCACAGAUGUGAGUGAAGAGGGGACGAUUAUGUAGCAGUGUGACUGCAGGGCAGGCACUAGACUAAUACUAGUGGACUGGGAGAAGUCACUCUCCAGCGUUUCUUCUUUGCGGAUACGGUGAAGACCCUGUCUGAAAUAAGGUCUUAUCAUCUACCAACAGACAUGGUAAGUCAAGGUGAGGAAAUGGAGACCCAGAUUAUCUUCAAAGUGGUAAAACUAACGGAAGCUAAAACCAGAAUUUGAACUUAACGAUUUAGCUCCGGAUUCCACACCUUGAGUGUCCCUUCCUGUCCUCUUCAUGGCAACCAGAAAGCAGAGAAAAAAGGGAGGAACCAGGAAGGAAGAGAGACCCUGCCAGGUGAAGACCCCGUUGACCUGCCACUUCUGACCACAAGCCACCUCUGAACAGCAAGCCAGCUAUCAUGCCCCAUGGUCCGGUCAUCUUCCAAGCCCACCUUUAAGGGCAUGAGAGUUGGGGUGGACAGCCAGCUGUAAACAGUAACACUCAGCAUCCCCUUAUAUUCAUGCCUCUUAAGCCUGGAGUUCACAAGACCUGGAUACCACCCACCAUGACAUGGAUUUCUGUCUUUGUCUGCUGUCUUCCUAAAUAUCUUGUGUAUUAACACACCUGAAUGACCUCACCUUAGUGGCUUUCCUUAUGAAACUUAUUUUAACUAGAACUGGAAUGUCCACUCCAUUAUUUUCAUCAUCUAAAUCCAAUUCUUUGAAGACAAUAAGGCAAAACAUUUAUAAUAGUUGAGUAUAAAGGUUUAUGUAUAUAGGUCUCACUGUGACUUAUGAUUUGCUGUAUUGUUCAAAUAUUAACAAUAAAAGUUAGG